rnacentral:sRNA from 1 species
AUAAUUAUGAAUAGUUCUUCCAUAGUUCUUUCAAAUUUGUAAGUUAUUUAAAUUGAUCUAAAAAUUAUUUAAAAGAUCUCAAACUAAAAUAUUUCAUCUACUCAGCAAUCAGAAGUGAACAUUUUUGAGCAUAAGAAAUUGAUAUAAUGUAGCAAGUAAUAUCUGAAGAACCAGUGACUGGUGAGCUCUUAACUUUAAGAGCUUGAGUCUAGUUAGAUUUUGAAACAAGGGGCCUCUUCUUUUCCCUUAUUAUAGUCCACCAUUCUAUAUAACGAAAUGAAAAAUUGUCAACAUAUGCGAUAUGAUUAAGAUUCAAGCAAGGGAGAAACAAAAAUUUGAAUG